rnacentral:rRNA from 1 species
CCUACGGGUGGCAGCAGUGGGGAAUAUUGCACAAUGGGGGAAACCCUGAUGCAGCAACGCCGCGUGCGUGAAGAAGGAUUUCGGUAUGUAAAGCUCUAUCAGCAGGGAAGAAGAUGACGGUACGUGAGUAAGUAGCCACGGCUAACUACGUGCCAGCAGCCGCGGUAAUACGUAGGGGGCAAGCGUUCUCCGGAUUUACUGGGGGUAAAGGGAGCGCAGGCGGUGAGACAAGUCUGAAGUGAAAGCCCGGGGCUCAACCCCGGGACUGCUUUGGAAACUGGCUGACUGGAGUGCUGGAGAGGCAAGCGGAAUGCCUAGUGUAGCGGUGAAAUGCGUAGAUAUUAGGAAGAACACCAGUGGCGAAGGCGGCUUGCUGGACAGAAACUGACGUUGAGGCACGAAAGCGUGGGGAGCAAACAGGAUUAGAUACCCGUGUAGUC